UACGUAGGGGCAAGCGUUAUCCGGAAUUACUGGGCGUAAAGGGUGCGUAGGUGGUCUUUCAAGCCAGAAGUGAAAGGCUACGGCUCAACCGUAGUAAGCUUUUGGAACUGUAAGACUUGAGUGCAGGAGAGGAGAGUGGAAUUCCUAGUGUAGCGGUGAAAUGCGUAGAUAUUAGGAGGAACACCAGUAGCGAAGGCGGCUCUCUGGACUGUAACUGACGCUGAGGCACGAAAGCGUGGGGAGCAAACAGGAUUAGAUACCCUGGUAGUCCCU
rnacentral:rRNA from 1 species